ensembl:lncRNA
GGGAUCUCUGGUUGGAGAUUCUGUUCUUGGGGAGUCUUUUCUGCAAGCCUGGAUAUUUGGAGAUGGGUCAUGCUCAGUCUCCAAAAGCCUUUCCCAGGUGGCAUGAAAGAGGAAACAGCCUUUGCUACCUCCCAGGGAAAUACACUGCAGGAACAAGACCUCUUCCUCUUGACUCAACUUUGAAGAUGCGGCACUGAACAUCUUAGCAGCUGCAUGAGCCAUAAUCAUCAGAGAAUCACUCAGGGACCACAAUGGGAACAUGUUAUCACACACGUUCCAUGUGGUGGAACAUCUGUGGUGGGCUCUUAGCAACCUCAGCCAGCUCCCUGCUGCUCCAGGUGGUCCCUGCGAAGGCCAGCACAGCCUGGCACUCUUCUAGCUUUCAGCAGCCAGGCAUGGAAGAACUGCUCAAACUGCAGAAAAGUCUGCAUUAUGUUACCUCCAACAGAAACACCACAUUUCUGGCAAGAAGUGUUUCUUCAGAAGAAGGAGAAAUAGUCUACCAACUUGAGAGUGAGAAAAGAACAGCUGGUUGAACAGUACUUACCCAGUGUUGUGUCCAAGCAGCUGGAACCAGAGACUGGAAUCAGAAAACACACUGUCCACACCUGCUACACUGUGGACUGAAAUCUGUACAUCCAUACUUCUGCUGAGCAUGCAAAUAAAGAGAACAGCACAGACUAGCAUGAGAAGGUGAUCUUCCAUCUGGAGGACGUUUCCUGGGACAGGGACCAGUAGUCCCCUGAGGGACCGUGUUGCCAGAAGGCUGCUGGAGGAGUUGGAGUGUGGAGGAAGCAGCUGGAAAAUAAUCCAGAUGAUGAAAAGGCUGGGCUGUGCCAAGAGCUGCUGGGGCAGAAGGAACACUGCAACAGAGCUGCCAAGUGCAUUAACAGGGUAAGGCUUCUGCAAGCUGCAAGGCAUGGAGUGGUGAAAUGUGAGUCCCCCAUUGAAGAAAAAGUUCAAGACACAGCUCUCAGUGAUGUGCGCUGCCUUUUGGGAUAGGAAAGGGGUGAUUCUUCUGGAUUUCCUGGAACACAGAACAACACCAUCAAGUCUGAUCGCUACAUCACGAUGCUGACUAAGCUGAAACCUUGAACUUUCAGAAUCAGUCCAGAGAAGAAAUCUUUCUCUUGCAACAUGACAAUGCCAGGCCCCACAUCUGUUUGAAAACCACAGAGCACAUUGCCCAUCUUGUCUGGACCAUCCUAGCACAUCCACCAUGUAGUCUGGAUUUGGCACCUUCUAAUUUCCAUCUGUUUGGGCCAAUGAAAGAUGGACUGCAUGGGCAACAUUGUCCUAGCAACAAUGCCACCAUAGCAGCUGUGAAACAGUGUGUCACCUCCGCUGGUACAGAUUUUUAAUGAACACGGAAUUCAGGCUUGUGUUCAUUGCUGGCAAAAAUACAUAGCUCAUGGUGAUGGCUAUGUUGAAAAAUAUAAUUUUGUAGCUGAGAUUUUAUUCUAUCAAGUGGUGUUAUUGUGCUCUUUGCAUCUGUUGCAGUUUACAUGCGAAUAAAUAGGAAGCAUUACUUUCGGAGCAACCUACAUAUAUCGUAUGCUUGAAAAUGUAUCUUUCUUCUAAAAACAACUAGCAAAGGUGAGUGCCUUAUACAUCUGUUUUAGGAAUGACAGGUGGAAUGAGGGAAAUAUGGAAAAACCAUGGCCACCUUUUGCCAUUUUGAGAAGGGAGAAAUUUUUCACUCAGUCCUCCUCCUUGGCCAUGGGAGAAAUCUGGUAUACAGCACUGGAGUUCAAAGUAUAAGGGCCAUGCACAAACCACUGGUGUCUCAAGACCACUGAGUAGCAUUUCAGAUCUCCUAUAUUUUUUCAAAAAUUCUCACAGCUAUCCUUAAUUCAAUUCUGGGACUAUGUAAGCAAGCAUUUCUUCCUGACUAAAUAAUACAUGAAAUGAUACUUGCAGUGUAUAUUACAGCAACAGUUAGUUUGGAAAGAGCUCUGCAGUCCAGGAAGGCAUCUUUUCUGCUGCUUCCGACUCCAUUGUACAUUAUGGAGCAUCACAACCUCCUUCUGAACAAAACUUGCACAGCCUCUGGGUCAUGUAAGAAAGAGUGGUUUGGUAGACCACAGCAGGAGUGAGAAUGAAACUCUUGGAAGUCCUGACUUUGGGUUUGUUGAGCUGAUUAGGGAGCAAAACUCUGAACUGAGAGCAGUAGCUGUUGACUUUGUAAUGGGUAUUAAAGAAAUGCUGGUCACGGACCAGUGUUCAUUUUUGUCAGUCUUUAGUCCAUAGUGGGCUGGGAGGAGAAAGAAAUGGAGAGGAGAAAGCAGGGUGGGAAAAAGCAAUAUUCCUUUGUAAAGAAAUGAUGAAGCAGUUAUGUUUGCAUCUUAAGAGCUUAUUCCAAGAUUGAUGACUAGCUGGAGGAGAGCUGAUGACUUAUGGCAGUAUUUGAAUAUUGCACUGAAUUUAUGUUACUUGGCAACAGUAACAUGCAUUAACAAAGCAGCAUGCCUCCUGGCUGGUCCAGCCUGUGUCCCUUCAAUCAAGCAUACUGAUGUGCCAGGCACAGCUUAUAUCUGAGGCCUCUAUUAAAUUCCUUGUAAAAUUUCAGUGCAGCUGCUUCUCACAAAGUUAAAGGCUAUUUUAACCAUAUUUCUUUUCAAAAACACUCUUCAUAACUCAGGAAGGACCCUUGCUUCUCCUUCAGGGCCGUGAAAGGCUUAGCGCAUCUGGUGUUAUUAUGCCUCCCUGAUGGGUCCAAGGCACUGUGUUCUGCCAGAAUGGAAGUGGGGUUUGAUGGGCUUUUGCUGCAUCCCAGGCAUUUGUCCUUUCCAUCAUAGGUGGGAGACGAGUUUUUCUCAAAGUGUUAAGGGGCAUCCGUACAGAAAAAAAAAUCACAAAAAAGAACUGUAUUAACUAGGAAUAGCUGAUCUUCACCAGUAACGUUUUUCCCAUGAACUUGCCUGUCUGUCAGGACAAUUUGCUUAGGUUGUAUCUUUUUUAAUUAUAAGAAAUCUAAAUAAAUGAACAGCAAGCAACCAAAGACCCAGCAUUACAUUUGCGGUUUCACCAGGGACUGCUCAGAGCAAAGAUAAUCAAAGCAGCUCCAGACUUCUCAGAGACAUCUUCAGGUAAAUCAUAAUCCCUCCACCCCCCACUCUGCUCUCUGUGGUGUGGUGAAGGAAGGAUUUGUGUAAUGCUCAUCCCUGUCCAGGUUUUGGGGGGGUUGGAGAGGGUGAGGGUAAUGCUGUGAAGCUGAAUGUAGCUCAGUUCUGGAGAAGACACCCAUUUGACCAUGUUCACGUGCUUCUCCCUCUGAGCAGAGUAUUAGAAACAGUCUGUGGGAGAAGUUGGAAAGUUGUGCGCUUCUGUUACUUUGCUGCUGGUGGGAACGUACUGAUUGAAAGGAGAAAUGUGUAACGUGUCACUGCAGAUUGGUUCAGUGUGGUGUUUAGAGCCAGAUUAAAAGCAUAUACCCUUGAAUAAAAGAGGCCAUUAAACUCAGAAGCUUUACGUGGCGGCGAUUUUAGAAGCUGAUGGUGUCCACGUCAGAGGAAGUAAAUACCCCAAAAAUUCCACAAGAGAAGGGUUACCCUGAGACUUCUGAAUGUCAUUCCCAUUGCUUCUUCAUUGAAAACCCUUGCCUCUACUUAGAAACUGGACUGAGCAAAUCACUUAAGAGACCAGAAAUCUGGUGACUCUGAAGGGCUGAUUUAGAGAUUCCUGAGUUUGGAAUUCCAAGGUGAACUGGGCAUGUCAGCUUAACUUAGAAAUUGAACAGUUUUUGCUUUUACAAGGAAUAAAUAUUGGCUGCUUGACUUUUUGAACAUUUUUCGUAAAUAAAUGACAAGAAUUGCAAAGCUCUAGUUGGAAAAAAUGUGUUUUGUUUUCUCUUGUCUCUUUGUCACUGAACCAGGAGUACAGUGGGAAGACAAUGGGAAAGCAAAUGCCUCCAAACCUAAUGUAGCAGUGAAAACAUGGAAAUAAAAAGCUUCUUGAAUGUGUUCUUAUCAUAACGUGCCUGGGAUAGCAAGUGUUUCUUUGAAAAAACACUGAAAAUACGUUUGGACAGAAGACAGUUUGCACAGACAGAAAUCUGCACAGAACAGGAUCGCUGUGUUUCAUGGCAAUUGAAAGGUCUCUGAUGAAGAGUGCUGCAGUUCCUGCAAUCAGUAGCCAGGAAUGUGGUGUGGGACCAGUCAAAGGCAUACUGGAAUAGAAAUGUGUGCAUCGCAGAGUUGUGAUGGGCUACCACAGCUGUAAAAGAACAGUGCUGUAUCUGACUCUUCAUUCUGGUCCCACAAGAUCUUAGCUGGAUGUUGGUGGUAUUGCAGUAGAGUUUGAGCCUUCUCAUCAAUAUUCCGUUACAUUUUGUUGCCAUGUGACAGAUGGCAGCAGAGGGGCAGUCUGACAUAGUGGUGUCUAACAUGGAGUGCAUGUGAAGCAAAGAAUGAAUUUCUCCAUGCAGAAAAAACUGCACCCACUGGUAAUCAUCAACACUUGAUGAACAUUUAUGGAGACCAAGCAGUGGAUGUGAGCACAGUGAGGCGGUAGGUGGUGCAUUUCAGCAAUGGUAGCAGCAAUAGUAUGUCACCUCCGUUUGUGCAGAUUUUUAUGAGUGCAGCAUGCAGGCUCUUGUUCACUGUGGCCAAAAUGCACAGCUACUGGUGAUGACUGUGCUGGAAAUUUUUUUGUAACUGAGAAUUUGCUCUAUCAAGUGGUAUAAAUAUCAAAUGCUAUUGUGUUCUCUAUAUCCGUUGUAGUUUCCAUGGAAAUAAACAAGAGGCAUUACUUUGGAGUGAUCUACGUACGUAUUAAAGAAUCCCAUAUAUAUGAAAAUCAUAGGAAGUCCUCAAAGACAGAGACCAAAUAUAUGAAUUUAGUGUUUAAUUCCUCACUUUCUUGAAUUUUUGCCCCAGUGCUCCAUGAGAAUAAUGGGUAAGGGAGAAGAGUUCAGCUGUAACAGAUCCCGGAGGUAUGUAAGCCUCCUAAAACAGUUUUUCAUGAGCAAAAGCACUUUAAUGAGAAUUGUAAAAUGAAUGAUUACAGGAAUGCUACUGAUUCAAUCUGAAAUUAAUGCUAAUAGGAUUUAUUCUGUCAGUGAUAUUCAUUGUUAUCAACUGAGAUGUGCUUGAAAACAUUGUCUAUUGUAAUCUUGGAUGGAAAUCUUCAUGUGUCAUCCUCCUUUAGUUCCUGAUUCAGCAAAUCAGUUAGAACACACCUAAUUCUGAAUAAAAUUUUAAAUUUCACUGACUUCAGUAAGAAACAAAUAUCUGCUUUGUAUUAAGCACUUUUUAAAGGGUUUUUGCUAAUGUUACUUCCAACUGGCUUCCUUUUCUUUAGGGUUUGGCAGUCCAGUACUGUCUAAUUUAUUGCUUGUCAUACAACACAUCUUUCAUAACUACCUUUCAUGUUCCUUUGUUGUUCAGAUGUGUACUGGUGCUAUAAAUAAUGCUGUGUGUGAGUUUUAAAGAACAACUGCAAAUACCAUUGUGUGUUGUCAUUACAUUUGUGAAGGUUGAAGUUUAAUAAUUAUAUGAGGC